UGAUGUAGCUUCUGUUUUGGAGGAGAAAUCGCGGGCCGAAAAUCAAAUCGAAGCAUCGAGCUCGAAGAUGAUCAUUUGUUCAAGAAAAACAGAAGUACUUAGAAAGGAGAUUGAGGAAGCUAAUGAAGAACAAGUACUUGCUGAAUUGGCAAGGAUUGAGGCUUUGAAAGAAUUGGAAGAUAUUAGAGUUCAAAGAGAAAGAGAAGCAAAUGAGUUUUUAUUCAAGUUGGAAAUCACAAGAAAAAAGUUAAAGGAGGCAGUGGAAGAGAUGGAUGAGUCAAAAGAACUUGAAAUGAAGUUAGCUAUGACAGUGUCAGAUGUUGAUCUUUUGCAGAAUCAGUUGAAUAUGGUUAAAGAAAUGGAGAAAAGGGUUCAAGGAGAUGAUGGAAGUAUGAAACUAUUGGAAGGAAGUUUCAUGAAAGAUGAGGAAUCAGGAGACUCUAAUGAGUUAAAAACCAUAAAUGAAGAACUUGAAGCAGCAAAGAAAGAAUUAGCUUUGAUUAGAGAUGAAGGUUUCCAGUUUAUGGCCUCUAUGGAUGUUAUAAGAAAUGAGCUGAAGCAUGUAACCGACGAGACGGCUCGCUUGAAGAAGAAAGACUCAUCAGUUCAUAAUCUCAAUUUGAAGCUUCUAAGAACAAAAUCGAAGCUAGAAGCUGUAUCUGCGGCCGAGGAAAAAGCAAGAUUAAUAGUAACUAGUCUAUCUCAUGCUCUUGAAAACCUUAAGACAGAAACAGAUGCAUC
rnacentral:lncRNA from 1 species